CGCGCGACUGACGGGGCUCGAACCCGCAGCUCUGU
rnacentral:tRNA from 1 species